ACCUCACCCUGCUGGACAAAGUCGGGGUGCGCCUCGACAAGUUCGGCGACAGCAAUGGUCGCGUGGACGACUUGUUCGCUCGGGCAAGCAUCUAAACGGCCUGAGGUGCGCCGAUGAUCCAACACCUGCGAGCCAUCCCAACAGCGAGCGGCAGGGUGAUGGUCCUGGCAUGCUCCUUAAUCCUUGGCUUGUGUGGUGCAGGAUCGGCCAACGCCGCAGACGCCGUGAUCGCCGAUGCCGCGGAGAAGGCAGAUUGGCCGUGCGUGCGUGCGCUUUUGGCGGACCGCGCCGACGUGAGUGUUGCUCAAGCGGACGGCGCGACAGCCCUCCACUGGGCCGCGUAUCACGACAACCUGGAAACCACCAAGCUCCUACUGGCCGCCGGUGCAAGCGCGAAGGCCGAGAACAACUUUGGAGUCACGCCUCUUUCGCUCGCAUGCACAAACGGUAAUGCGGAAGUGAUCAAAGCGCUCCUCGCGGCUGGCGCGGAUCCCAACACGACGUUGCGCGGCGGCGAAACAGCGCUGAUGACCGCUGCGCGAAGCGGGCGCGUGGAUGCGGUGCGCGCUUUGUGCGAAGCCGGCGCAAAGGUGGACGCGGUCGAUCGCAAGGGGCAAACCGCGUUGAUGUGGGCUGCAUCCGACGGCCACGCCGCGGUGGUGGAAUUGCUCAUCAAGUCGGGCGCGGACAUACGUGCUCGUGUCAACUCGGGCUUCACGCCAAUGCUGUUCGCAGCACGACAGGGGCGCGCGGAAGUCGUGAGGGUACUGCUCAAGGCUGGCGUGGACAUCAAUCUAACGAUCGAAAGUAAGCGAAGCGCGCUGCUGCUCGCGGUCGAAAACGGGCACUUCGAGCUCGCUACGGAAUUGCUGAAAGCCGGCGCCGAUCCAAACGAUGCCCGCUGCGGGUUUACUCCGCUGCAUGUUCUGACCUGGGUCCGCAAGCCAAUACUCAAUGAAGACGCGCCUCCCGCGGGUUCAGGGAAUCUGACCAGCAUGCAAUUCGCCCGGCAAUUGGUGGCGUCGGGUGCGCAGGUGAAUAGCAAGGCGGGAAAAGGUACGGGGCGCGCAAAGUUGGACGCAACCGGCGCGACGCCGUUUUUUCUUGCGUCGCAGACUGCGGACCUGCCCUACAUGCGUUUGCUUGUCGAAUUGGGCGCAGAUCCCCUGCUGCCCAAUGAAAAUGGCUGCACGCCGCUGAUGGCCGCUGCCGGCAUGGGCUCCGACGCGCGCAGAGAAGAUGCCGCAACCGAAGCGGAGACGCUUGCCGCUGUCGAGUAUCUGCUGAGCCUCGGCGCCGACAUCAAAACAGUGGACCAGAACGGCGAAACGGUCAUGCACGCCGCCGCGUAUCAAGGCUCGGCAAAGAUGGUUCAGUUGCUCGCCGACAAAGGCGCGAAAAUCGAACUCUGGAACCGCAAGAACAAGCAGGGAUGGACGCCGCUACUCAUCGCGCAAGGCUACCGGCCAGGCAACUUCGUGCCCUCCAACGAGACGAUCGAAGCCCUGGAGCGGGUGAUGCGUGCCGCGGGGGUUACGCCGCCACCCGCACCGCCGAUUGCCACCACGAACCCGUCGGAUUAUGGCGCGGCCAAAGCCGGUCAAUGACUGAUCGCAUCGGCGAUCAAUACUCUUUCUGCUUAUCGACCACGUUUAGAAGCGGCAACCCAGCGGCGAACCGCCUCAUGUUCUCGACGAAAAUCUCCGGCUCGCGGUUGAUCUUUGAUCCGCCGGCUUUGUGCGGUGUGAUGGCAACGUUCGGCACCUUCCACAGCGGAUGAUCAUCGGGCAGCGGCUCUGGGUCGGUGACAUCCAAACCGGCGCCG
rnacentral:misc_RNA from 1 species